rnacentral:rRNA from 1 species
UACGUAGGGUGCGAGCGUUGUCCGGAAUUACUGGGCGUAAAGAGCUCGUAGGUGGUUUGUCGCGUUGUCCGUGAAAACUCACAACUCAAUUGUGGGCGUGCGGGCGAUACGGGCAGACUGGAGUACUGCAGGGGAGACUGGAAUUCCUGGUGUAGCGGUGGAAUGCGCAGAUAUCAGGAGGAACACCGGUGGCGAAGGCGGGUCUCUGGGCAUGUACUGACGCUGAGGCGCGAAAGUGUGGGGAGCGAACAGG